UUAUAUCUUUUUUUCUAUGUAUUUAUUUUACCCAUUAACCCACAUUUCUGACCUUAAGGAAAUAUUCGUUUUUGUCUCUGCAUAGACAUAGGAUGAAAGGAAGAACCGUAAUUGACCAGCUUGGGAGUUUGAGAUUCCAUAGGAUGAGACAUAAGAAAUUUUGCAUUACCUUUUGUUAAAGAGCUUAUAACACUGUUGUAGUCGAGAAUCUGCUCCAAAGGCACCUGAGCACGAAUACAUUUAAUGACAGAUGAACUCUGUAGUAGAGAAGAAGCAUUGUUUGCUUUAACAGAACUAGGUUCAUCAGCUGGUAGAUAUCUUUCACCUAAUAUUCCUAUCGCUAUCUGCGAGUCUUUCGAAGCAGCAUUCUUUCCAAUCUCUGUAAUUUCUUUGAUCGUGGCUCCCCGCUUGCCUACAAGAUCUUUAGAAACAAUACCAACAUAUUCUUCAGGAGUUGUAAUUGUAACAUCCAUAUAAGGUUCUAAUAUUCUGAAACUUUUGGGACUUCUCUUGUAUAAUGAAAAUACUGCAUUUUUGGUAGCUUUCAUCGAUGCUUGUGUCAAAAGUGACAACGGAAAGUCAUUAGAUAGAAAAGAAGAAAUGGUACAAAAUGACUGCAAAUUCGUGAGAGGAAACCCAUGUAAAGGCCCAUGCGAUAGACCUGCAACUAUUCCAAAGUAGAUGUUUUCUUGAAUACGUUGGAAAGAGAGAUGAUCCGGUAAAGUACACGAGUUUUCCGGCUUCCAGCCAUAAAACAAAACUCCAUCUUCUUGCCCUUUACUUCGAACUUUUUGGAUCUCACCUUCAGAAAAAUAUUUUUUCAAGGUUUCAUCUCCUUCAUCAGAAAUAGGGAUUAAGUAAACAUUAAUAAUGAGAUUCUCUUUAUUUUCUGUGCUUAAGGUAACUGAAUUAAAGCUUACAUCAAUCAAAGUUUCACGAUAACCAACUUGAACUUUUCCUAAAGAUGCUCGAGCUCCAAAUUCAGACACCAGUCUUUCAUAAGAAACUUGUAAAUGCAUAAUGCCCAUCCCUUGUAUCAAUAGUUGUCCAUUCUCUAAAUCUUGGGUAUAUCUAAAUGAAGGAUCUUCACGAUUCAUGUUAGCCAAUGCUUCUAAAAGUGCGGGUUCAUCUUUUAGCGAAUAAGGUUCUAUAGAAGCAAUGCAAACAGGUUCAGGAAUACUGAUAACACUUUGAUUUCCAGAAAGGUACUCAUGAAAAUUUUUUGAGUUCUCUUUAUUAAUAAUGAUAUCUCCGGUAUGAAAUUGUUUAAUCCCACUAAUCACUCCUAUGUUUCCAGCGGAAAUGCAAUCAACUUCUUGAGUCUGGUCAGCGAAUACAUUGUAUAAACGAAUUGCUCUUUCUGACUUUUUAGUUCUUGGAUUAAACAUCAUCAUUCCUCGGCUUAAAGUCCCUUCAUUGACUCUGACAUAUGUGAGAAUUCCCCUAGAAGCAUGAUGUAUAACCUUGAAAAUCUUUGCAAGCAAAGGACGUUUAUCCAGGGAGAUUAUUUUGUCACUACUCGUUUCUUUUGAAGCAUUUUUUUCAUAAAAUUCUACAGGACUAGGAAGAUAAUCAAUGAUCGCAUCCAUGAUGGGCUGAACGGCUAUAUUUUUAAGAGAAGAUCCGCAUAAAACUGGAACUACAUUGCCAGAAAUUGUUUUCUGUUUGAUAAUUUUAAAUAAACGGUCAUUAGUGAAAGCGAGUGAAUCCUCAUUCUCAAGGUAUUCAUCGCAUAAUGUUUCGUCAACAUCGCAAAGGCUCAUGACUAAUGCAUUUCUCGCUUCUAUAAAUCUCUCCAUGUGUGAUUCCGGAAUUGGAAGCUCCUGAACAUGUGUACCAUCUGUUCCUAACUUGUUGUCAGAUGUAUCCCACAAAAUCAUUUUCUGCUGCAAAAUAUCCAAAAUGCCUAAAAACUUCCUUUCUUGUAAUCCAUCUGAAUAUACUGGCAAUUGAAGUACAAGGGGAUAUGGACAGUCUAAAUUGGUGUAUAUAGAACGAAUGGUGCUACCCAAGCUAGAACCUACACGAUCCAUUUUAUUGACAAAAAUAACCUUUGGAAUGCCGCGUUUGGUAGCUUGUUUCCAUACAACUUUCGUUUGGGCUUCAACACCAGCACUACCAUCUAUAAUGGCUACAGCACCGUCUAAUACUGCUACUGACCGUUCAACUUCAAAGGUAAAAUCAGCAUGGCCAGGGGUAUCAAUUAAAUUGAUUCUUUGAUUUCUCCAAGUGAAGCUAAUUGCGGCAGAGUUAAUAGUAAUUCCGCGCUGGCGUUCUGCAGGCAAAUAAUCCAUAACCGUAUCUCCUGUAUCAACAUUGCCAAAGUGGCUAGUAAAACCUCCGUAAUA